rnacentral:rRNA from 1 species
GACGGAGGAUGCAAGCGUUAUCCGGAAUUAUUGGGCGUAAAGCGUCCGCAGGUGGACAUACAAGUCUGCUGUCAAAGUGCAGAGCUUAACUCUGUAAAGGCGGUGGAAACUGUAGGUCUUGAGUAUGGUAGGGGUAGAGGGAAUUCCCGGUGUAGCGGUGAAAUGCGUAGAUAUCGGGAAGAACACCAGUGGCGAAGGCGGCUAUCUGGACGGUUUCUGACGCUAAGACGCGAAAGCGUGGGGAGCAAACAGG